UGCAGUAUUCUAAUGACAACUCUGAUACCAUAUAUCAAGUGUUCACGUUCCCAUGAAGGGCAGUUUCACUUUCUCAAAUUUGACUACACAUGCAGAUGAGAUAUAGAUUGAAACAAACCUUUCGGUAAUACUCUCUUUAAGGCUCACUCAAACAAUAGCUGAUAAUCCCCCUCCCUUCCUCUUUGGACAUAAUAUUUCACACGACAAGAGCCGAACGAUCUUUGUACAGACUCGCUUAUUGCAAAAGAAAAUGAAAGAACAGGGAUCGGAUGACACUCUGCACAAUCUAAUCAAUUAUGAAGUGGAUUGGGUCCGCACGGGACAAGUCUGCGCGAUACCACAUGCAUCGAGCCAUGUUUCUCGCCCCCGGAUUUGGCAGAGUUGUGAAUCGAAGAGAAGCUCUGGAAGAUAGACGAAUACUUUGCCCACAAUCUUUGUUGGCUCACUCGAUCGGCAGCUUCAUUAAUCUGACGGGCGCUGGUAACUUGGAACAGAGCUGAUAUCACGAAGAUCAUGACAAGCAGAAGAUGGGAACUGUAAGCUUUCAUGUUCUCGAGGUCGGGAAAGACUCGGAAAUAGUAUACCGAUUGAAUGAUAGGUUGGUAGAGGUUUGAAUGCUUUGGCAGCUUCAAGAGGCUAGUCUAUGUACAAUGGACCAGCCUCGGUUGAGUUAUAUAGUGCAGGCAAAUCUCAGUUGCAAUUAAUAAUGAAUUUGGUGAGAAUUGAGAGAUGGUGAUCAAAGAUGGCUCAGCACCAAGAAGAAGA
rnacentral:lncRNA from 1 species